UACGGAGUUAGCCGAUCCUUAUUCUUACGAUACCGUCAAGCUACUUCACGAAGUAGUGUUUCUUCUCGUAUAAAAGCAGUUUACAAUCCAUAGGACCGUCAUCCUGCACGCGGCAUGGCUGGAUCAGGCUUGCGCCCAUUGUCCAAUAUUCCUCACUGCUGCCUCCCGUAGGAGUCUGGUCCGUGUCUCAGUACCAGUGUGGGGGAUCUCCCUCUCAGGACCCCUACCCAUCGUAGCCUUGGUAACGCCGUUACCUUACCAACUAGCUAAUGGGACGCAUGCUCAUCUUUUACCGUUGUUGACUUUAAUAUAAUCUCGAUGCCGAGUCUAUAUACUAUGAGGUAUAAUCCAAAUUUCUCUGGCUAUCCCUCUGUAAAAGGUAGAUUGCAUACGCGUUACGCACCCGUGCGCCGGUCUCUCUAUCCGAAGAUAAAUACCCCUCGACUUGCAUGUGUUAAGCCUGCCGCUAGCGUUCAUCCUGAGCCAGGAUCAAAC
rnacentral:rRNA from 1 species